rnacentral:rRNA from 1 species
UAGGGAAUCUUCCGCAAUGGGCGAAAGCUUGACGGAGCAACGCCGCGUGAGUGAUGAAGGUCUUCGGAUCGUAAAACUCUGUUAUUAGGGAUGAACAAAUGUGUAAGUAACUAUGCACGUCUUGACGGUACCUAAUCAGAAAGCCACGGCUAACUACGUGCCAGCAGCCGCGGUAAUACGUAGGUGGCAAGCGUUAUCCGGAAUUAUUGGGCGUAAAGCGCGCGUAGGCGGUUUUUUAAGUCUGAUGUGAAAGCCCACGGCUCAACCGUGGAGGGUCAUUGGAAACUGGAAAACUUGAGUGCAGAAGAGGAAAGUGGAAUUCCAUGUGUAGCGGUGAAAUGCGCAGAGAUAUGGAGGAACACCAGUGGCGAAGGCGACUUUCUGGUCUGUAACUGACGCUGAUGUGCGAAAGCGUGGGGAUCAAACAGG